rnacentral:rRNA from 1 species
UGCGUAGGCGGACUAAUAAGUCAGUGGUGAAAUCUUUCGGCUCAACCGGGAAACUGCUAUUGAUACUGUUAGUCUUGAGUUCGGUUGAGGUAGGCGGAAUGUGUAAUGUAGCGGUGAAAUGCUUAGAUAUUACACAGAACACCAAUUGCGUAGGCAGCUUACUAGACCGACACUGACGCUGAGGCACGAAAGCGUGGGGAGCGAACAGGAUUAGAUACCCUGGUAGUCC